UAAUCUUCUUCAGCAUGUGACAGAAGCUGUAUAGGUUGCACUGGGGAAGGCCCUGAAAACUGCAAAAACUGCACAUCAGGAUAUGUGUUACAGGACAGCAAAUGUACAGAUAUAAAUGAGUGUGAUGGAGAGGAGAAAGUCUGCUUGCGUGACAAUGAAAACUGUACGAACACUCCAGGAAGCUACACAUGUAGUUGUGCUGAUGGUUUUGAAGACAAGGAUGGGGAAUGUGUGGAAGUUGUGAAAAAGGGGGAUGCAGAGGACGAAAAUGAAGCAGCAACUUCAGGCGAAGAUAAAGACUCGGCCAAUGUCCAUGAGGACCUUUGAUGUUCAUGGGUACAUAAAAUGUUGUUAAGUUAUUAACAUCUAAGUCCUUCGUCCCUUGAGUCAAUGUACUGUGGCCACCAUGUGUUUGUUAUUGUGAAUAACAAUUUUGCCAGCAAGUGUUAACAAAUACCUGUUUGUGUGGUAUUCAGAUUGUGAGAGACUUGGAUUUGCCCUAAGAGCUGCCCAUUUCUGUACAAUGUAAAAACAAAACAAAAUGUAUCAUAUUUUGAUACAAUACUUUCUAAUAAACGUAGAUCAUUCUGGUAAA